CUACGGAGGGUGCAAGCGUUAUUCGGAAUCACUGGGCGUAAAGGACGCGUAGGCGGGUUGGCAAGUCAGAUGUGAAAUCCUACAGCUUAACUGUAGAACUGCAUUUGAAACUGCUAACCUAGAGUAUGGGAGGGGGAGAUGGAAUUAGUGGUGUAGGGGUAAAAUCCGUAGAUAUCACUAGGAAUACCGAAAGCGAAGGCGAUUACCUGGAACAUAACUGACGCUAAGGCGUGAAAGCGUGGGGAGCAAACAGGAUUAGAAACCCUAGUAGUCC
rnacentral:rRNA from 1 species